CGGCGGCUGCUUACCUGCAAGUCGAACGAUGAUCCCAGCUUGCUGGGGGAUUAGUGGCGAACGGGUGAGUAACACGUGAGUAACCUGCCCUUAACUCUGGGAUAAGCCUGGGAAACUGGGUCUAAUACCGGAUAUGACUCCUCAUCGCAUGGUGGGGGGUGGAAAGCUUUAUUGUGGUUCUGGAUGGACUCGCGGCCUAUCAGCUUGUUGGUGAGGUAAUGGCUCACCAAGGCGACGACGGGUAGCCGGCCUGAGAGGGUGACCGGCCACACUGGGACUGAGACACGGCCCAGACUCCUACGGGAGGCAGCAGUGGGGAAUAUUGCACAAUGGGCGAAAGCCUGAUGCAGCGACGCCGCGUGAGGGAUGACGGCCUUCGGGUUGUAAACCUCUUUCAGUAGGGAAGAAGCGAAAGUGACGGUACCUGCAGAAGAAGCGCCGGCUAACUACGUGCCAGCAGCCGCGGUAAUACGUAGGGCGCAAGCGUUAUCCGGAAUUAUUGGGCGUAAAGAGCUCGUAGGCGGUUUGUCGCGUCUGCCGUGAAAGUCCGGGGCUCAACUCCGGAUCUGCGGUGGGUACGGGCAGACUAGAGUGAUGUAGGGGAGACUGGAAUUCCUGGUGUAGCGGUGAAAUGCGCAGAUAUCAGGAGGAACACCGAUGGCGAAGGCAGGUCUCUGGGCAUUAACUGACGCUGAGGAGCGAAAGCAUGGGGAGCGAACAGGAUUAGAUACCCUGGUAGUCCAUGCCGUAAACGUUGGGCACUAGGUGUGGGGGACAUUC
rnacentral:rRNA from 1 species